CAGGAUUCGUGUCUCCUAAUCACUCAGGGAUCCAGAUUGAGUGGAGUUGCUAUGAUGCUACUCUUUCAAGAUUCCCUCCAUGUACUAAGUUAGAGGAACAGAACAUAGAGAAUAAUGCAGCAGCUCUUGAGUCCGUUUGUAUGGAAGUGAUAGACACACAUUCAUCUGCUCAUAUCUUUGUAGCACGGCCAUCCUUUUCACUAGUAGGUAGGGAAAUGUGACCUUCCAUGUACAUGGAACAGCAAAAACACUCAAUACUGAUGACUCUGGGUGUUGUCCACUGCCACAGGAAGAACAGGAGAAGCAGAAAGAUGGAAUGAUGACCCCAGUGACAGCUGAUCCUUUCUCUAGGUGUCCAGCAGAGGUGUGUUUCUUCUUGCUGAGCAGUUCCAUGGCAGCCUGCCAACAGCAAUACUCAGAAUUGGAAGCACUUGGGGACAGCCAUCUCCUGUUAUGGUCAUCAAGGACUUUUAUUGGAUUCCUUUAUUAUCUCCCUGCAAAUGUUGGCUUCUUCCC
rnacentral:lncRNA from 1 species